rnacentral:lncRNA from 1 species
UGGGCGAGAGGAUCCUCUUUGAGCGAAACCAGCCUUCUGCCUGGCUGGCCCUGGUCAACACACUCGGAAGAGGCCGAUUUGGAGGACAGAACGGAAGAAAAGACCUAAAGAACUGACACAUUUGUGCCUAGCAUAGUGAUGCUGUUGUCUGCAGAAGGGUCACAGCCUUCAGGGACUCUCCUGCCAGUGCUGUAUUUUGCCUGCACCCCUCUGGCUUGGCUUCUGCACUGAGACCCUCCUAACAAGUGAGCACAAGCAAGACACUAUGAUCCUCAUCCAAUCACUUAAAGGCCUGAAUAGAACCAAAAGUCUGACCUGCCCAUGAGUAAGAGAGAGCUCCUUCUGCCUGAUUGCUUCAGCUGAGAUAUCAGCCUUUUCCUGCCUUUGGAAUUGAACUGCAACACUGGCUCUUCCUGGGCCUCAAGCCUGCCAGCUUUUGAACUGUAAUCACACCAUCAUCUCUCCUGGUUCUCAGGCCUUUGGACUCAAAUCAGAAACACACCAUGGGCUCUCCUGUGUCUCAAGCUUGCCAACUGUGAUCUUGAGACUUCUCAGCCUCCAUAAUCACAUGAGUCAAUUGUUGGUUCUGUUUCUCUGGAGAACCCUAAUCCAUCACUUUACAUAUUUCUUCCAUUACACAUAUUGUUUCCCAGCAUAUUAAAUAAUUUACUGAUUAUA